CUCUGCAGGGAAGAGAUCCACGAGCAAGCUGCAAAUUAAUAACCUGGGCAGUUUCUGCCCCCUCGUGUUGCCGAGCUCUGGCUGCCCACCAGCCUGUGGGCUAGGACAGGUGCCCAGCUCCUGCCCCUGCAAAGGCAGAGGCAGCUGGCUGCAGCUGGGGAGAGAGAGGAGAGCAGGAAAGGCAGCCAGGGGCUGUCCAGCCCAGCAUCAGAGAACCACAGCCUCUCCACCAUGUGCAUUUUAUUCCCGCACCAGGUUGGUCAGGCUGGAGGAAAUGGUAUUUCCUGCCACUGCCAUCAGCUGGAAAUUGCUCUGCCAGCUCAAAAUUGCUUUCCUAAGGCUGGAGGGCAAAGACCUCAGGAAUGUGGGCAUAUCGAAGCCCAGAUGCUUUACCUGACCCCUGCCAAGGGAGGAUAUUACAAAUCUGAUUUAGGAGAAAAACCCAGUAAAGAAUACAGAGCGCACCUCCAACGUCUUCUUUAGGGUCAUGAUGUUUUCACUGCAGACUUCCACGUUGUUUAAGGUCACCUGAGGAAAAAAUCAAACCCAAGUAGAAUUCAUUGGAAUUUCUCAGCACCCCAGCCUUGAAUCCAUAUGUUUACUCCAUGCCCCGCCAACAGAACAAGCUGAAAUGUGAUCACCACUACUGUGAGAAAAGAUGCCCAGCUCCAGCUUCCCAGAGCCCACCUGCCACUGCUUCCUACAAGCAUGACAGAUCAGAGGUUCAAAGGUGAAGAACACAAGGAAGAUCAUCUGACAGCAAACACUUUGAAGACUGUGAGGUGCAGGCAUGUUACAACAAACCUGGUGUAUCUGCACUACCUGAAGUCAGACUCCAGCUCGGUGGUGGAGUGGUUGAUCAUGGCACAGAGACAGUCUAUGCUGGAGCUGGACAGAGCACGCCCAAUGCACUUCUUCACUAUGUAAAACACGUCAUCCACCAUGCUGGAGGUGAGCUGGCCCUUCUCGUAGCUGUCCAUGGCAACAGCCUGCAAAGAAAGCUGUCUCAGAGCCCCGAGGGAUCUCAUCCCGUGGGAUGCUCAGCAGAGGACUGGGGAGCACACAGAGAGAACCAUCUGAGGGUUUCUCAGCACGGUCAGAGCCCUACCUUGUUGACAGUCUCCCUCAUGAAGUAUUCCUCCAUGGUGAUGUAGUAGCCAAUGAGCUCUUGCAUGGUGCAGCUCAGCAGACAGUUGUUGAGGAGCUUGUCCAGGUAUUUUUGAUGCUCUACAGAAGAAGGAACCAUCAGCAGGGACCAAAUGGCAGAAAGCAGUUCCACCAAGUCCCCUUGCUACCUCCCUGAUGGGCACCCAAUGGACACACACCUGCCAAGCCCAACCUGGAAGAAAUCCCAGGCCUCAGCUGCAGAGCUGAAACUGCUGAGCUGAAUUUUGCAGGUGACAAAAGUGAUUUCCAGAGCUCCACCGAGUACCAAAACCCCGAGCCUGUUUUCCCCGUGGCCUCCACCUUUAGGAUUUGUGCCUGCAGUGCCCAGAGUCCCUCCCUCUUUUUGGGGACCUUGUUUGUUAUACUCUACAGUCAUUCAAUGCUCAGAGAUAUCUCCAUUUCUGGCUCCAAUGAACAGAGAGCCUGCAAGUCCAGGUAGUCAAGGUGUUACCUUGCUUUACCUCCUCUGAGGCCAUGGCAUCUCCCACCUCAAAAUCAGCUACUAUUCGUCUCUUGAUGAACCUCAAGUAGAGCUCACUGCGGGCGUUCAUCAGGGUGACUUCUGUUAAAAUAGGGUCAAGCUCCCUGGAAGGAACAGAGCAAGAACUGAGGCAGCAAGACUACAAAAGGAGAGGCACUAAUUUAAUUCAGCUAAUUAGUGUUUUCUGUUCUCUCACUGUGAGAUCCAUACUGUUCCUUUCCAUCUGUGCCUUUGAGUGGCAGAGCUCAGCGGAGUAACUGGUAUGUGCAAAGAAUGCACACACAAUCAAAAUGUCCUCAAAAAAUCAUUUCCAAGGAGGGAUCUCUACAAUACUGCUUUCUUCUUUGCUCCAAGAGUUUGCAACGCUCCCCCUCUUUUUUCCUCAUAGCUGUGAGGACAUCCACAUUAAAAUCACAGUGGUAAGGACUGCAAGGCUGAUAUAGCUUCAAAAUGAGCCCUGUUUGGAGUGGCAGGUUGGACUAGAGACCUUCCUCAGCCCUUUCCUACCUCAGUUUUGCUAUAAUUCUGUGAGCCCCAAGCGGCCAGUGUUAGAAAUGCCUGGUCCCUGCCAUCUCCUCAUGUGUGCCUUUGUGCACACAUCCACGUGUUUCUCUGAAAAUGAUGAAGAGUCUGUUUAAGCUCAACAGCUCAGGAAAUGUGAGACCAAAAAAAAAGCACGUGACAACGUGCAGAAUGCGGUAGUCACGUCAGAGGUGACCAUGAAAAAUAGAGAGACUGUCACAUCAGCAGCUUUUUCAUCAGUGUGCACAGAAGAAUUUCACAAAUCCUGCUCAAAGCCUCCCAACACAGCAGUGGAACAAGGAAAUGUUAUUUUAGAGAUGAAAAAGCAAAAGCUCAGGAAAGCUGGGAUGCAUGCAGAGUUACUCAGAGCAAACAGCAAGUAGAUCUUUAUAUUACCACUGAAACAAUUAGUUAUGCAGGCUCACAGACAGAUCUUGCUUGAAGAACCUAAGUCUUGUUUCAGGGCAUGUUUAAAAGUCAGGCAGUGCCAGAAGGGCUGGAUGCACUUUCAAAUGGCCUUCCUUAUGGGUUAUGUAAAUACUUAAGAUAAGAAAAGUAGGGAAAUUGAAAGCACUGCGGUUCAUUAGCAAAAAACUGAUGUUUCAGAGCUGCUGCUGCAGCAGCAGUACAGGUUAAAUAAGACCCAGAUUUAUUCCUGAUUCUGUCACAAACGAUCUGCCCAGGGAGCUGCUCCAUUUUGUGGGUUUCAAGGACUGUACUCUGGCCAUCAAAGAGCAGCGGGCACAGGCAACUAAAGUCUCAGCCCUUCAUGUGCAGUGAUACUGCCAGCCCUCAGCAAUGCUUAGGGCCGAGGCUUAAAAGUAAUGACUAAGCAAAACAAAGCCCCAAGACAGAAGCUGCCUUUAUGAAAGGGCAGAGAAGAGCACCUAACAAUUGGAUUUUAUGUGUUAGUAGCCACAAAACCUCUGGAAGACCGGGAGUUAUCUAAAUGCUAAGUAGUGUUAAUAACAGCUCAAGAGUGAAAGGUUAGAGCACAUAAAGACUUCUUCUUUGUACCUUGGUUCAAUCUUCUCUGCAGAAGAACUUCUCAUCAUGCUAUUCUGGACUUGCUGAAACUGCAAUCACAAAAAAAAAAAAGGGAGAGUCAUCAGUCUUUGCUGAUGACUUGGAGUUACCAGCUGCUUUUCGUGCUGUAGCCUAAGGAAGUGCUUACUCACUGGGGGUGAUGGGAAUGCUUUGCAGGAAGCACUGCCAGAGAAGGGAACUGCAUCAGUUCACCUCCCCCUCCAAGGAAGAGCUCGUCCUGCCAGGGAGGACAGUGGCAGGGGACUCCAGCAGAGGCACCAAGGUGUGUGACCAUGAGGCAGUUACAGCAGCCCUGCAUCUAAGCAGGAACAAGACAGCGGGGAGGGUGUGCAGAAAGCACCCUACAGACCUGCACAGCAAAGAAUCCUGUGCCCAGCGUGCAUUUACCACACUCCCAACGAGUCCUUCUCUGCAGCAGAAGGAACAGCUACAGGCUGAACCCCUUCAGCCAUCAUCAUAAAUAUGGAGCAAAGCCAAGUUUCUUUUAAUACACAGGGACAAACUUUGCUGCCUCUGUGACAGUGGGAGCCCCACGGAGCUGGAUAGAGGCCACAGUUGGCUGCACCAGGCAGUGUCACACUGCUCUUACCUGCCUGUGAUAGUCCCUCUCCUUUAUGAACUUGUCCACCACCUUCUCCACUUGCCGGUCACAUUCCACCUGCAGGUGCUUGAUGAGGGUGUAGAGCCUCCCUGGCCCGUAGUAGGUCUCCACGAUGGGCUGAUGGGUCUCCACAAUGCGAGCAAUUCCUGCGGGGAGAGGGGAAGCAGAAGAGACUCCACCAGGAGUUCCCAGAGCACGGCAGAGCUACACAGGUCCACCAACAGGAACAUCCUCUCCACUGCUCAUUGUAAGCACUGCAGUGCAAGUCUCCUGGAGUAGAAGCCACAUCUCUCCCUAAAGAGAGCUCCUGCUAUGCCAGUGUGCCAGCUGCCCUCCCAGCAAACAAGGCUCCCAUGCUGCUUCUUGAAGAGCCAGGCCUGGAGGCACCAACAGCUGCUCAGCCUUAAGGGAUCUGAUUUGUUUGUCUGGAGAGCUGGAAGCCUGAGGAAACCUCCAGGGAAUACCCACACGUUUUGAGGAUGCAGAGAACGGGAAGAGUCUGAUUCCUGGAGGAACCCAACAAAUCCUUUGCAAAUCCACUUUGUGCCUGUGCAAGCUGUAGGUAGGGAAAUCUGCUUAUUGUGAUGCCCUCUCCUGGCUGGAAUAAAUUCUGUGAGUGGUGUCCCUGUCCCUCGAGUGUGACACUUCUGUAGCUCAAUGGGGAAUGAGGCAUUUUGUGAGCCAAACUAAAAAAACAUUUAAAUUCAUGGACAAUCUCAUCAGGGACUGUUUUUAAUCCAUCAGGAAAGAGGGAAGGAAGAUUACCUUCGA